UACGUAGGGGGCUAGCGUUGUCCGGAAUCAUUGGGCGUAAAGCGCGCGUAGGCGGUCUGUUAAGUGCACAAGUGAAAGCUCCGGGCUCAACUCGGAAAUUGCUUUGCAUACUGGCAGGCUGGAGGGACGCAGAGGUCUGUGGAAUUCCUGGUGUAACGGUGAAAUGUGUUGAUAUCAGGAGGAACACCCAUGGCGAAGGCAGCAGACUGGGCGUUUCCUGACGCUGAGGCGCGAAAGCGUGGGUAGCAAACAGG
rnacentral:rRNA from 1 species